UAGAAGCAGUGACGAUUCUCUCGAAAGCUCCGACGAUCGCCUUCGGCGACCUUUUAAGCUUCGGCGGCGAUCCUCUCGAUCACCCUCUUCGGCCGCGACCCUCUCUAUUUCAUCCUCUUUGGCCGCGACCCUCUCGAUCUCUUCGAUUGAUCUCGAUCUCUUCAAUUGAUCUCUACCGUUUCUCAUCUCGUAGCCUGCCGUAUCUCGUCGUCUAAGAGGCUCGAUCUCAUCUCCAUCUACCGUAUCUCAUCUCGUCACCUGCCGUAUCUCGUCACCUAAGAGGCUCGAUCUCAUCUCCAUCUUCUCGAUCGUUAUAUUCGUUGCCAGGAACUCGGGUUUCGAAAAACAGGAAGCUGAAGAUCAGCCAGCACAGACCAAGUGGGUCCAGGGUUAAGUUUGACGAGGAAGGCAAUCCAGUGGCUCCCUUAGCAAUAGUAGCUGCCACAACUGAGACUGAAGUAGCCCUUGAUGAAGAGGCAAGGAAGGAUUACUAUAAGAAACUGGGAGAGCAACUGAGGAAUGUGGAUCAUGAGGACAAGAAAGUGGAGAGGGAAAAGAGGAGGGAGAAGAGAAUGAAAGAAAAGAUUAAGAGGAAGCAAGGAGAGAUGGAGGAGGAGGAAGAAGAAGAAGAAGGCCAUGAAGGCUCUGCAUCAUCAUCAGAAGAAAUAGGA